UCCCUGAUGAGCUGCCGCAGUGGGAGGGGCCCUAGGGCCGAGAAGUCGCUACAGUACCAUCCGGGAGACGCUGAUAGCUGGCAUCCUUAGGGGCUCAGGGACCCUUGGGUGGACAGCGACGAGGGGCCUUGAGGCAGCCGUGUGUCCCCGAGUUCACCUUCCGUUCUCCCAACUGGCGUGCAGAGUCCGCCAUGGAAGCGCAUCCGACCACCGCCAGGGUCUCCGGGAGCCGCGGCCUCGGCUUCCCGGGGCUAUGAAAGACUAGAGGCGCCCAGCGUCCCGCCUGCCUCUGGCGCUCUGGCUAGCCAGGCGGGAAGGGGUUGUGGUGGGAAAUGGUAUUGAUCUCAAGGGAACAGAUAGUGCAAAGGCCCUGAGGUUGGAAUGCUGCUUAGUGUGUUUGAGAAACAGGAGUCACUGUGACUGGAGGGGAGUGCAUAAGAGGCAGAGAGGAAGAGGAGACUAGAGAGGCAGAGAAGUCCAGGGUACCCCUCAAUCUUUCAGCCAUUUAAAGAUAAUUUAUGGAUCCCCUCGUAUCUGCAAGACACUGUGUGCUAAAGGGUUUGUAUUUGUUGGAAUAGGGUGGUUAAAAGUGUGAACUAGGUAGGGUGCGGUGGCUCAUGCCUAUAAUCGCAGCACUUUGGGAGGCUGAGGCGAGUGAAUCAUGAGGUCAAGAGAUCGAGACCAUCCUGGUCAACAAGGUGAAACCCCGUCUCUACUAAAAAUACAAAAAUUAGCUGGGCAUGGUGGUGCGCACCUGUAGUCCCAGCUACUUGGGAGCCUGAGGCAGGAGAAUUUCUUGAACCCAGAAGGCGGAGGUUGCGGUGAGCCGAGAUCGUGCCAUUGCACUCCAGUCUGGGUAACAACAGCGAAACUCCGUCUCAAAAAAAAAAGUAUGAACUAGUUAAGGGAGAAGGGCAAUGUUUUAGGACAGUUGGGUAGAGAUGAUAGAGGGAAAUUAAGUAAAGAUGUCACCAGCUCUGUUGACAAUGCAGGAGAAUUCUGGUGGGUUCUAGCACACUGGUAGAAAAGUCAUCAGAACAGAUAUAAGCAAUGAUUUUAAUUUGACUUUAGAAGACAGCAUCUAUAUUUUAGGAAGGACUUUUGAACUUCUUAAUUAGGUUUUGUUAAAUCUGUUUAAAUCUGUUGGUAUUUCUCAAUGUGACAUAUACUCUUGUUGGCAGGAUAUAGCUCAGAAGCUUGAGGCAGGAGGGAGAUAUGUUACCGCAGAUAAUCCUUGGUGGAUCAAUGAGCGGUGUUAAUAAUAGCAGUGUGGGAAUUUACUUAUGCUAUUUUCCUGUAAUUGAUAGGAGAUGGCUCCUAAAUUCUUCUUUCUAGGGGCAAGAAUAAUCUUACAACACAUUGAUAUCUGAACAAAUGAAAUCAACAUGGUAAAUACUUUUUUCAUAAUUAAAAAAUAAAGUGUAAGUUCUUUUGGGCUGACCGAUGGAGCCAUGGCGCACAUGUACACCUCUGGAGGGCCUUCUGGAAUUAGAAAACGUGAAGGAAUUGGAAGACCAUGAAAAGUGGAAGACAACCCUUUCGGAGCCUAACUAACCUGAGACAUUCUUCUAUUGUUUCUUAUUCCUGCCUCAAUUGACAAGGCCUUUGGACUUUGUAACCAACCUUGGUCAACUUUGUAACCAACUUUGGUCAACUUUGUGACUCCAGACCUUACGAUCCCCUCCCAGCUUGCAAAAGACCACCCUAAACUGUAACUUCUGUAACUUUACACUGCCUACUGCAAACAUAUAAAACUAGCUUCUAUCCCACUGCCCUCCACUGACUCAGCGGUGAAUAAACAGCCAUGUUAAUCACACAGAGCCUAUUUGGGUGGUCUCUUCAUUCAGAGCGUCGUUUUAACGUAAAAUUUUUUCCCAAGAAAUAUAUUGGAAAUGUUUUUUGAGAUUUGCAAUCAUUUGAAAAAACUCAACGAACACAGCCUAGAAAUAUUGGAAACAUUAAGAAAUUGUAAGCUACCUUCCCACUCACAUGGAACAACCAGGAGGGACACACCAAACGAUGCCACAUGAUGACCUCUGCCACCAAACACGUGUUCCUGAAGGAGCUAGUAGAGGAUUAUGACUAGCUCUUCACUGUGAAGAAAAUACACACAAAAUCAGAAGAAAAUACACACAAAAGGAGAUCUGAUGAGACCUGACUCGAGUUCUGCAAGCUGUACAAGAAGCAUGGUGCCAGCAUCUGCUUCUGUUGAGGACCUCAGGAAGCUUCCAAUCACGGUGGAAGAUGAAGGGGAGCAGGCAUCACAUGGCAAGAGGGAGAGCGAGCAAGAGGAAGGAGGUGCUAGACUGUUUGCAACAACCAGUUUUCAUGAGAACUAAGAGCGAGAACUCACUCAUUCCUGCGAGAAUGGCAACAAGCCAUUCAUGAGGGAUCUACCUCCACAACCCAUACCUCCCACCAGGCCCUACCUCUACCACUGGGGAUCAGCUUUCAACAUGACAUUUGGAGGUUCCAAUAUCCACAUCAUAGCACUUUGUUAGCUGAUAAAACAUUUUAGGGAAACACGACUCCAGUUAGUCUUGAGAAAGGGGGCAUGAGAGGUAUGUUUCCUUAGUCUGUGUUUUUCUGAACAUUCAUUGUUCUACUUUCAUACUUGAUUAAGAGCUUGUCUUGGUAUAGAUGUAGACUGAACAUGUGUUUUUUUCAGAAUAUCACUUGCUAUAUUGUCGUCUGGCCUCAGUGUUUUUAUAAGAGGCAUGAUGCCAUUUUUAUUCCUUGUCCUCGGUGACAGGUUUUCUUUUCUGCCAACUUGCAGUCUAUCCUAUUUCCCAUAUUCUGAAAUUUCAUAAUAUUUGCUUGGCUAGUUUUUUUGGUUGUUGUUUUAAAUACACGAUGCUAGGCCUUCUCUGGAAACUCAUGUCUUUCAGUUCUGGGAAAUUAAACCACUUAUUUGAUUAUUUCCAACCCCCCAGUUCUCUCCAUUUUCCCUUCUUGAAAUUUCAGAUGUUGAAUACAUUGGCUAAUUUUCUUUUUCUUCAUUCCCAUCUUUUUCUUUGACCUUUUGAGGAGAGUUACUCAACCUUAUCUUCCAAGUGUUCUAUUGAAUAUUUUUUAUCUUGGCCAAUUUCCCCAAUUUCUUUUUUCACUCUGAUUAUACUUUUUCAUUGCAUCUUAUUCUUGUUUCAUGUAUGUAAUACUUUCUCAAAAUUUUCUGAUAAUAAUGAGUAUAGUGUUGUUUGUUUGUUUUUGUUGUUUAUUUUUCUGCUCCCUCUAUUGUUUCUGUCUUCUUAGCCCUGAAAAAAAAAAGUUUGUUUAGUUCUCUUUUUUCAUAGUUGAGGUCUUCUUUAAGUGUCUGGUGAUCCUUAAAUGUUUAUUAAUGAUUAAGAAGUGGUGCACCAGAAACCUAAGAGAAGACUCUAUGGCUUGCCCCUCAGUAAGCAUUGUCAGGAGAUAAGUGGGCUUACUCGAUGAAGAGCGUUUCAGAUGGAGUCUCUGUGGAUCUUGUCCAUAUGGCCAGUCAAUCUUUUUGGAGAAUUAUGCUUUAUUUUCAUGCCCGGAGGGUAUACAGCUGGGCACUCAUGUUCUGGAAGCAGAGACAGAAGGCACUCAGAAGGCAGACCUCCACCUAGAGCCUUGCUUCAGCCUCAUACGCUGUUGUUAGCAGAAGGUGAAGGCUGGUUGAAAGUCUCUAAAGAAGACACGUUUACCUGCCUGGAAAGGAUGAAGCAGGGGAUGGGUUGGGAGAGACCAGAGGGAAAGAGCUAGCAUUUGGUGAACUGGGGUAGAGUGAGGGAAGAAUCAGAUACAUGCUGUGUACAAAUAUGAUCUUUCAGUCAGUAGCUCUGCUCCAAGCCCAGGCCUCCCCCAGCUUCUGUGGAAUCUGCAGUGUGCAGAUGUCCAGUCCGUCAAGGGUUCUUUGGGUGACCUUGUGUGAAUCUUCUAUUACAGCCUCUUCUCUGUGGAUUACUCUGCUGAGGUAACUGCCAUUUCCCCAUCCCUUUGACCCCUCCAAAAAUCUGACAUUUCUUACCCACGACUGUUACCUCUCUGGUUCUUGCUGACUUGUGGGUUUACAUCUUUUUAAUUCUUUUAUUGUCAUUUCAGUUAGGAUUCAGGCGAGAGAAGAGAUAAACGUAUAUACUCUAUUUACCAUAUCUGACCUAAAGUCUCCUGUUUUUUACAUGGCUUUCUGAAGUUACACAUAGAAGCCCAGGCAUAGAGAACAUCAGGUAAAUAAGAAUUCCUUUAAGUCUCGGAGGCUGCUUCAAACGGAGAAGACUCACCUGGCUGUGGGGUCUCCUGGCCUUUGAGAAUGCUCCUUUAUACACUGGCUUGGUGGCCCCAGGGCCGGAGGCACCUCAGGGCAUUUUCUCCUCUUGAGCAGCUGCUGAAGCAUCAGGCACAGGAGCGUGGGAGACAGACCUCUGGGAUGGCUUUCGUGUACUUAAUUGAGGUCUGAAGCAGUAUUGUUUCUUAUUUAACCACAAUGCUCAGAUUCACUCCAGACUACCCCAUCACAUUUAUUAAACGGAAAAAUAAGUGAAGAAACAAUCUUGGGGUUAUGUUUCAUGGAAAGCCUGUCAAACAAGAAAGUCUUUUCCUCUUUAUCUGCCUGUUUGACUUGAAAGCGGACUGUUAGCAGUUAAUAUUUUUCAAGUUUUCAGAAGUGUCCUGUAGAGAACUGGACAGGAGCAAUGCUUAUUAAAGGAACAUGAUAAAUAUAAACAACAGCAAAUGACUUUGCCAUCAAGAAAAGUGCCGAGCAAAAAAUACUGUAAGACCAAAACAAUCAUAAUAACCCCUCCUCUAAAGAAACAAAACAAAAACCAUCAUAGAUAAAAUCCCUUCUCUUUCUCUCUCUCUCUCUCUCUCUCUCUCUCUCUCUCUCACACACACACACACACACACACGCACACGGGAAGACAAUCUUGCUUGUGAGCAGCUGAAUUUUGAAAAUCCUUAAGAGAUUUAUUAGAAAUUGAUCUGUAACUGCAAUUUAUUUUUUUAUCACUGCAAUAUUCAUUAAAUGUCAUUGUGUAAUGACAUUGUAUAAUGCAUCAGCUGUGGAGUAGAAACAGGCCUUUCAUUUCUUUUUAGGCCGAGCUUGGCAAGAAUUUAGAUGCUAUCAGAAAUAUGAAAGUUUCUGUUGCAGCUGAAUUGCGUCCUAUACCUUCACCCCAACCCAAUCUGAACAGUGGCCUUAUAAGAAGAGGAAACUUGGACAUGGAGACACCAGGACCUGCAUAUAUAGAAGAAGGUCCCUAUACAGAUACAGCAAGAAAGCAGGUAUCUGCAAACCAAGGAGAAAGGCCUCAGGAGAAACCAAUUUGCCUACACCUUGAUCUUGAACUUUAGUCUCCACAACUGUAAGAAGAUAAAUUUCUGUUGUUUAAGCCCCACACAGUCUGUGAUGUUUUGUUGUGGCAGCCCUCACAAAUUAAUAUGGUUCAUUUUCCACCAUAUUUGAUUUGGAAUUUGGAUAUAACAAAGAAGAUCAUAAAAAUAGUAAGAAUGAGAUGCUUCUAAAAACCAACUUUUGCUAACAGUUGAAAAAUCAGAUAUUAGGUCAUCGUUGAGAAAAAUGACACAUACGGAAUCACAUUUGCCCCAUCACCUGUGAGCUGAAGGUUUAAGGUACUGAGUUGAGCUGAGGCUGGGCUUGCAGAGUCAGAACUUGGAGCCUCAGACUCUCUGUCCCCUUAGGGCUUGUCCUCAGUCUGUUGCCUCUGAAUCUGGCAGGGGGAGGACCCUGAAAUAGAAGGUCUUAAAUGGGAAGGGAAGAGUAGAUUGAGGGGUUUUCCUGGUGGCAGGUGUCCCUGAUGGGAAGUGAAUCGGGUUCAUUCUGCCUUCUCGAACACCACUCAGCAUGGACAGCAGCAGCCUGGGUUGUGGAAUGCUGCAAGGGACAGCUGGAGAAAUGUCUCGCUCAUACAGAAUAUGCUUAAUGGGCAGAGUGCCCUGGAGUCACCUGGGCCAUCUUAUUUCUCUCAUUCAGGCUGAAGAAGAGAGGAAAAAGUAUGGCAUUCACGUAACUAGAUACUCAAAGUGCUUGUACUGGGCUAGUAACUUGGCUGAGGAAACAGCUGGGCACUGGCCUAUUUGUAGCCCCAUGCCUAGAGGUUGCAGGUUGUCACAAUUUGCCAGAAGCCAGCAAGAAAAGCCAGGGCAUCAUGUUUAGCCUGUACUCACCAUCAGGAAAUGCGUCACCCUUUCUGUGAGUGCAAUGCUCAUGCUGACCAAGGUCCUAGAUCCAAACAGUGAACCACUAAAAUGAGUAAAAUUGAGAGAGAGUUACAAAGACAGAAACAGAGAGGAAAGGAGGGAAGGGGAAAGGGAGAAAAAGGGAGAGAUGGAGAUUUAGAGAGAAAUAGGGAGAGACACAGGGAAAGCACACAGAGGAGGAGACAGAGACCAAACAGAGAGAACCAGACAGCCUGGGGGAAAGCAAGUCCCCAUGCCCCGGCUGCCCACUCUAGAUCUGCUCACCCACCCACUCUAGAUCUGCUCUCAUCCCCACCUCUUAGCCUGUUUAACCCGUUGGAGCAUCAAGGCUUAAGGAAGCCCAUGGAGGCUUGUAAAUGUGAUAUGGUUUCUAAUGGAUACCCUGUGAAUUCCCUGAAGUGGAACAAAAAAGCUUGUGGGAACCAAGUUAAUAUUUCUAGGUUUUAUUUAAAUAGGGGGUUAUGCCUGGGAUUCAGUCCCAUGAGCUGGACAUCUCAUCCAGGUGAGAGAGUCAAAUCAAGAACCCGAUCCUGGGGAUGGCCCACAAGAUUCGGGGCAAGGCGUGUUCAUUCUUCCUAAAUGAGUCUUUAUUGCAAGAGCACUGCUUUCUCUCUGGUGCUUGUUAAAUACUGUAUUUAUGCUGUGUAUUUGUAUACAGUGGGAUUAAGGGACCAAACUGAAUUACUGAUGAUGGUUGCUUGAAGGGGUGUUUGAUAGGAGAUUUACACAGUGUUCUUAAUAAUCUUUUUUAUUUAUUUAUGGAAUGUUAUCAUUCCAAACGUACAGUUCUGCCAUCCCUUAGGAAAGAUGCUUUCUAUUUGAGGGCCACCAGCUCUGCAUGUUGAUUUGAAAAGAGAUAAAAGAGCAUCUGGCCACCACAGCACAGGCUGACUUCCCUCCCUCUUCAUUAUGCAGAGAGCUGAUGCAUUUUUUGCUUCUUUCCUAUUUAUACAAAUAAAGACCACGAUUUGGGAAAUAUGUCAUGCUGGCAUUAAACACCACCAAUCUUGCUGGGUUGAAAUGUACACGUUCCAUUAACAACAAUUAUAUUGUAUAAUUAAGGUUUUGGUCCCCAAAGUCUGACUCGGAAGCUUCCUCAAAUAUGGAUGGGUUUAUGGAAGAUGUUAAAAUAAAUAUACCCCUCCCGUCACCCUCCUCCACCUCCCCAUUCCUCGCCCUGCUUCCAAAAGCACCACCAGUACCUGAGUCAAUGACUUGGUCUGCAGUAAAAGUGGGGUUCAAGUGCCCUCUAGAGUAGCUGUGACUAUGUGGCUAUAAAAAUUGAAAAGCUUUGAAAAGGCAGACAAAUGACUGCAAGCAGAAUCAUCGAACAUUCCUGUACAUUUGAUGGGGUUCCUGUAUAUGAGUUCCACAUGAUCAACACUGGGUGCAGGCAGGUGAUUUGGAGCCCUCAGGAUGAGGCUGGCCAUGUAAUCUUGCUAUAAUGCUGCUCUCCAUCAUACUUUUGUGGACUUCUCAGUUUCAGUUUAGGUGGAAAUUUCCCAAGGCGUAUGCAAUCUUGGCACACACACAUGUAAACCAUCACAGGGAAAAGGCUAAUGAGGUUCAAGUCCUUGCACCUGGGAGUGUCUCUGGACCCUUACUCCCCCCACUGCCAGCCCCCACCACAGUCUUGGCACGUUUCACUCUUCCAGCAGCUGGAGAGAGCUCUGACCUGUGUCUCAUCAGUGAAUGCUGGUGGUGGUGACAAUAAUGAAUUUCUAAUGGCAAUUAACACAGUGACAGGGUUUAUAAAUUAUAGAUUAUGACAACACUCCCUGCGAUCUGGUUUUUUCCUUUGAAGACCACCUGGCUAUCAAUAAUGGUCUCACCAGCCAAAUCCUGCCUUUGUGGGUCAAGACAGAAGAAGAACAACCAUUAAAAAAAGCUGGAAAUCUUAGAGCGGACUCACAUCUUAACUAGGAGAAUAAGUGUUGGCCCAAGUGCCCCAGGACUGAAGCAAAUCAGACAUAGAGAAAGAGGGAGAAUAUUAGAAUGAGGCACACCUGAUUCAGCUGCUAAAUAGUCUGGAUAGUUAAGAAUCAGAAUCAAGGCAUUCUUCUUUUCUAGUUCUCUUUGGUGAGGAUCUGUGAGCAUCCAAAUGAUUUGAAGAGCAAUAUGGUUAAUCUGCCCUUCUUCGUGAGUACAUACAUUCUGAAAAAAAGUUGUGGUUGGGAAAGAUGGGGAUCCAUCAUUCCAAGACAGGACAGGUAGUGUGUGGGUGCAUUGAUGCGCUUCCUUGCUCAAGGUGAAAUUGGGUAGAUUUUCUUCCAGAAUUGAAUGAUGGUGGAGACGUGAUUCCUGGGUAGGCCUACACACAUAACGCACAAUUCUGUAUUUAGUUACUCUUUAGAAUCCCUAGGAGAAAAUUGGCUCAGGAUGGAAAAGGAAGUAUGUUGAAAAUUUUGGUAGACUUCCUAGAAAUCUGGAAGCAUGAGCAAUUUCUGGAGGUGAAAAUGUUAAUGGGAUUGAACAGAUAAUAAACUCAUACUAAUACUAAAGUGAACAGGGCAAGAUGGAUUAUUUUGGGAGAUUUCUGUGGCAGAAACUAUUGGCUACUUAAAUCACCCAGUCCCUUCUUCCUUCUUAGUAGAGUACAGAAUUUGUUUAGAAACUGGGUUUGUGGGAGCUUCGGAGAGCCCUCCUUGGCCCUAGAGGCAAGUGUUGAUUGUGGUAAGACAGUUGUGGGAUGUGUAUGGGAAGCCUUUAGGAAAUGUUUCUCUUGAAAUCCAUAAAGGGAAGCCUGGGAGGAAUACUUCCUCUUUACUGGAUGUGGCUUCUGCAUGUACCAUCUGGAAUUGCUAUAGCCAGCUUACAAAUAUAGACAAAAGCUUUAUCAACCUGCUGAGCACAGCAGAAUGGAAAGAUGCAAACACCCUGCUCUUGGGAACCAGCCACCUUCAGACUUCUUGCUAUAUCAGGUAACACAAUUCUCUCAUUGUUUAAGACACUUUUAGUUGGGGUUUCUGUUACUUGCAAUUGAAAGUAUCUUAUAUAACCACUGUUUGGAACAGUGCAUAAGAAUGUUGUCUUUGGAAAAUCAACACCAUCAGAAGACAGGUGCCGAUAAAGCAAUUAAAUACAAUGAGAAGGUCUUUAAGAUCCUGGUUAAUUCUGACAUGUCUGUGCUCUAAUCCUUGGAUCUUUGUCAUGGAAGAAAACAGAACAACAAAAACUGGGCUAAACUUUUGCUGAACCCACCUUGGGCAGUGUGGUAAAAUGUUCUGUUUGUGUGAUUCACAUACUUGUGAAAUUUGGACUUGUAUUUCUUACUUUCCAAAGCAGAGAGUGAAACAGAUCUCUCCGUAAGCAAACCAAUAAUUGUAAUUGACAAGAAGAACAUAAAUUGUUUCCAAUUGAUGACUGAGUAAUCACAUCCUAUUUAAGAACAUUCAUCCAAAUGUCAUCUUGAGCCAAGGUAUAAGAAUAUGCUAUGUACCAUGGAGUUGAUAAUGUGUUUUUUGACUACCAAUCAUAAAUAAGUAGGUUUUUUCUCCUGAAAGACUUAGGCUAAGCUUUGUAAGAGUGUACUUUAUGAAUAUAUUUAUUAGGCAAUGCUUGUCAUUAAUUGAUACAAUGUUUACAAAUAAAUACUCUUUAAUUUACUUCAACAUUGACAGUCUUGGUAAGGAAGAACAAAUAAUGUAGUCUAUGUAUAGAUACAAAUAACAUUUACUUUUGUAAUAAAGUAAAAUUUAGGGAAGAUUAAUUAGAUGCAUAUUUAUGUAUAGGUGUAUUGGUUGCAAGUAACAAGCAGUUCACAGAAAGCAACAAUAAUUGUAGGGAGACCUUAUUCUCAGAUUUUCCAAGUCUAUUUCAAUUUCAAACAUUAUUUACUACUGUGAGAACAAUGUGUAUUUUUUUUUUUUUGGUUUGGGAAAUAUCAUCUUUCAGAAGACAUAUUUUGCAUUAACUCUGCAGCAAGUACUCAAAUUGUGUGUGGAGCGGGGGAAAGGAGCAAAAGGUAGAUGUAGGGGAAGCUUCCCAGAGCCCCUGGCUCCAUAACCUGGAGAGAGCUGCCCCACAUGGGCUUUUCCAGCACCCCGCAGGGGCUACCUGCUUCCUGGGGGCAGUGGCAAUGAACUCUUCUGCUGAUUCUCCUCUGCAUCACUAGUCUUCACCUUCUACUUCUGAGAAAAGGUUGCAAGGUAAGCUCACCUUCCUCACUGAUUUCUGCCCACCCAAAACUUGGGCUACACCAGUCAAAUAUUGUUCUCUGAGUGUGAUCAGUGCAUGGGAGGAAAUACUGGCAGAAAUAAGUUUGCAGGGAGCUCUUGAAGCAGAUAACUUGAAGUAUAGCCCAAAGAAUUGUAUUGGGAUAGGUUCUCACUUCCAUCUUGACUAGAAGGUAGAGGGAAAGGGGAGACAUUUCACAUUGAGAAGAUGACAUUUAACUUUAGGGAGAAAUAUCCAGAGAAGUAAUGCUUUUAUAGGCAGACAGAGGUAGGUUUGAAUACAGGUCUGAUAUUUGUUGUGUGACCUUGAACUUGAACAUUGUUGAAAUCUCAUGAUGCUCAUGCAGGGCGUGGUCAUCAGGAUUGGCAUGAUAGCAUAUGAGGAACUUGGCAUAGCACCUGGUUCACUGUCAAUAUCCAGUAACUCCUGGAAAAGAAAUCAAGGCAAUGAGUUAAAUAACAUGCUCUGUAAGUGACAUCUAAAAGUGACAUGAAAAUAUGCCUGUAAAAAGACAUCAGUAUAAGAAAAAGCUGUGUUCUGACAAAAUGCAACUUGAAACCUAUUGUAUAAUAGAUUGAAUUACAGGAACUCAGCAAAUCCAAGGAUCUAAUUGUCAUACGAAGAGAUUAGGCUUUUCCUUCUGUGAUGUGCUCUGAAUUAGGAAGUUUCAUUGAUUAUAUUCUUAAGAAAAUAGCUUUUUGAAGCCCCAUUUAAGAAUUUAGUAGCAACAUUAUUGAGUUAGUGUCUUCUUCCCUUUUGGUGUUUUGGGGUGAACUACAAAUCUUGUCAGGAGUCUCUCAAAUAAAAAGUGUUUUUAGAUGUUAAAUUGGAGGCCUUUCCAGGCAAGGAUGCCAAUUUUCUUACAGCAACCAUGCAGAAACCAGGUUGUCCUCCACCCUUUCUGCAAUUUUCUCUUUGGUCUAAGGUAGCUCUGUGGAAUUAUGUUUUUCUGUAUGAUUAUUUCCCUGGCACUGAUGAAGUUUAUACAUAUUUUAAGUUGUUUUUGUUUUUUUUUCUGCAAGACUGAAUCAUUUCAGGAAAACAGGGUGCUUUAAAUGAAUAACUGAAGUUGUCUUUCGGGUUGUCUUUGUUGGUUCUUAAGGAACCCACAGAAUGGAAAGUUGAAAAUGGUAGGGUUAGCACUUAUAUCGCUGAAGCAGGGAUGACAAACACUGUGUGCUGAUGGCUGACCAGACCAGUGACAGUUGUGAAAUGUAGAGCAUAACUCUGGACUGAAGGCUGAAAUUGCCUCUGAGACACCAGCAAGACCAAGGAUGGAGCCAAAGGAGAUUGAUGGAGAGCGGCCCCACCAUUGUCAAUGCUGGCAUCUGAGCCCAUCACAACCUCUAUCAAAAUGGGUGGGCUGAAAUGUGAACUUUCUAGUACUCCAGCUGUUCCUGAGAUUCCUAGAACAGGGAAACUUCCUGGUUGGCCAUCUGGAGGCAUAUUUUGUGUCUAACUUAUGAGCAAGGGAUUAAAAAAAAAAAGCAAGGAGCAUCAGAAUUUGGCCACUAACCCAGACUCAUGACUCACAGUGUUGCCUAUUUGGAAGUCAUGCCUGCUAUUCCCUGACCUUAUUCAUUUUUUUAGUGACAUUUGAUUUUUGAAUUAGGGCCACUUAUUUUCAAAUUUCCAAAGGUGGUAGAUACUACUGGGGGAAGAACACCUCAAAUGCAUUUUUAAGUAUAAAUGAGCAGUGAGUGUAAGGUAGAAGAAAUCAACCAGCAAAAUUAUAUUUUGUAACAGUUAUAAAAUGCAAAUUAAUUCAACCAUUGUGGAAGACAAUGUGGCGAUUCCUCAAGGACCUAGAAAUAGAAAUUCCAUUUGACCUAGCAGUCCCAUUACUGGGUAUAUAUCCAAAGGAUUAUAAAUCAUUCUAUUAUGAAGACACAUGCACAUGUAUGUUCAUUGCAGCACUGUUUACAAUAGCAAAGACCUAAAACCAACCCAAAUGCCCAUCGAUGAUAGACUGGACAAGGAAAAUUUGACACACAUACCAUGAAAUACUUUGCAGCCAUAAAAACCGAUUAGUUCUUGUCCUUCAUAGGGACAUGGAUGAAUCUGGAAACCAUCAUUCUCAGCAAACUGACACAAGAACGGAAAAUCAAACACUGCAUGUUCUCACUCAUAGGCAGGUGUUGAACAAUGACAACUCAUGGACACAGGGAGGGGAGCAUCACACACUGGGUCUGUUAUGGAGGACUAGGGGAGGGACAGCAGGGGGUAGGGAGGUUGGGGAGAAAUGCCAGAUAUAGGUGACGGGGGGGAUGGAGGCAGCAAACCACAUUGCCAUGUAUGUACCUAUGCAACAAUCCUGUAUGAUCUCCACAUGUACCCCAGAACCUAAAGUACAAUAAUAUAUAUAUAUGUAUCCCUAUAGAUAAUAACUGUAGUGAAAUGAUUAGUACUUGUCCUCCUGUGACCUUUAGUGACACCUCCAGCAGCUCAGUGGUCAGUCGUAGGCUGCAACUUCUUCAGAUUAAAAAAUGCACCAUCCUGAGGGACCAGAGUCAC